rnacentral:rRNA from 1 species
GACGAACGCUGGCGGCGUGCUUAACACAUGCAAGUCGAACGGAAAGGCCCUGCUUGCAGGGUACUCGAGUGGCGAACGGGUGAGUAACACGUGGGUGAUCUGCCCUGCACUUCGGGAUAAGCCUGGGAAACUGGGUCUAAUACCGGAUAGGAGCCAUUUUUAGUGUGAUGGUUGGAAAGUUUUUUCGGUGUAGGAUGAGCUCGCGGCCUAUCAGCUUGUUGGUGGGGUAAUGGCCUACCAAGGCGGCGACGGGUAGCCGGCCUGAGAGGGUGGACGGCCACAUCGGGACUGAGAUACGGCCCAGACUCCUACGGGAGGCAGCAGUGGGGAAUAUUGCACAAUGGGCGCAAGCCUGAUGCAGCGACGCCGCGUGGGGGAUGACGGCCUUCGGGUUGUAAACUCCUUUCGCUAGGGACGAAGCUUUUUGUGACGGUUCCUAGAUAAGAAGCACCGGCUAACUACGUG